UCCCUGGUGGCUUAGAUGGUAAAGAAUCUGCCUGCAAUGCGGGAGACCUAGGUUCAAUUCCUGGGUCGGGAA
rnacentral:tRNA from 1 species